GUCGAGCGAGACCUUCGGGUCUAGCGGCGGACGGGUGAGUAACGCGUGGGAACGUGCCCUUUGCUACGGAAUAGCCCCGGGAAACUGGGAGUAAUACCGUAUGUGCCCUUCGGGGGAAAGAUUUAUCGGCAAAGGAUCGGCCCGCGUUGGAUUAGGUAGUUGGUGGGGUAAUGGCCUACCAAGCCGACGAUCCAUAGCUGGUUUGAGAGGAUGAUCAGCCACACUGGGACUGAGACACGGCCCAGACUCCUACGGGAGGCAGCAGUGGGGAAUCUUAGACAAUGGGGGCAACCCUGAUCUAGCCAUGCCGCGUGAGUGAUGAAGGCCUUAGGGUUGUAAAGCUCUUUCAGCUGGGAAGAUAAUGACGGUACCAGCAGAAGAAGCCCCGGCUAACUCCGUGCCAGCAGCCGCGGUAAUACGGAGGGGGCUAGCGUUGUUCGGAAUUACUGGGCGUAAAGCGCACGUAGGCGGACCGGACAGUCAGAGGUGAAAUCCCAGGGCUCAACCUUGGAACUGCCUUUGNAA
rnacentral:rRNA from 1 species